ACCCGCUGAACUUAAGCAUAUCAAUAAGCGGAGGAAAAGAAACCAACAGGGAUUGCCCUAGUAACGGCGAGUGAAGCGGCAACAGCUCAAAUUUGAAAUCUGGCUCUUUUAGAGUCCGAGUUGUAAUUUGCAGAGGGCGCUUUGGCUUUGGCAGCGGUCCAAGUUCCUUGGAACAGGACGUCACAGAGGGUGAGAAUCCCGUACGUGGUCGCUGGCUAUUGCCGUGUAAGGCCCCUUCGACGAGUCGAGUUGUUUGGGAAUGCAGCUCUAAAUGGGAGGUACAUUUCUUCUAAAGCUAAAUAUUGGCCAGAGACCGAUAGCGCACAAGUAGAGUGAUCGAAAGAUGAAAAGCACUUUGGAAAGAGAGUCAAACAGCACGUGAAAUUGUUGAAAGGGAAGCGCUUGCAGCCAGACUUGCUUACAGUUGCUCAUCCGGGCUUUUGCCCGGUGCACUCUUCUGUAGGCAGGCCAGCAUCAGUUUGGGCGGUAGGAUAAAGGUCUCUGUCACGUACCUCUCUUCGGGGAGGCCUUAUAGGGGAGACGACAUACUACCAGCCUGGACUGAGGUCCGCGCAUCUGCUAGGAUGCUGGCGUAAUGGCUGU
rnacentral:rRNA from 1 species